rnacentral:lncRNA from 1 species
AGCUCAUGAAAUUUGAUAUGCACGAGCCAUCCAUGUAAAUUUAUAACCCUUUCUUAUACAUUCAAAAUUGGCACAAGUGCAUGAGCCAUCCUUGUAGAUCAAUAAAGUUUGAUGUUCAUGAGCCAUCAUUGUUAGAAGUUAUGUGACAUCCCAAAUGAAAAUUAAUGCAUAAGGGUGCUAGAUACAAAAAUAGAUUACGAGUGCAUAAUAGAUAAAUGUAUGCGG